CGCGCAGGCGGUCUUGUCCGUCAGGUGUGAAAGCUCGGGGCUCAACCCCCGGAAGUGCACUUGAAACAGCAAGACUUGAAUACGGGAGAGGAGAGAGGAAUUCCUGGUGUAGAGGUGAAAUUCGUAGAUAUCAGGAGGAACACCGAUGGCGAAGGCAUCUCUCUGGACCGAUAUUGACGCUGAGGCGCGAAGGCGUGGGUAGCGAACG
rnacentral:rRNA from 1 species